UUUAUUGUCUGUCUGGUAGAAUGAAGGAUAGAGGGGAGAGAGGGAGAAAGAGAGGGAUGAUAGGAGGAGAGAGGAGACAGGAGAGGAGGGAGGCUCGUGUUUGGGGAGGAAGGGAGACAACCAGGGAGGUAAAGGAAUGUACAAAAAAUUAGAAAGAUGAGGCUUUGACAUGUGGGUAUAAGGAGAAAAAUGUCUGAAAGUCUGUGAGUAGACUGGUUGACACCUUUAAUUACUUCUGUCAGUCUUCUUCUUGUUUUAUUUUCAGCCGUUCAAGACUGUCAUGGACUUGAACACAUGGCUGUGUGCACAUGUGUAUCUCUAACACAUUUGAAUCAAAUGCAAACUCUCCAGCAUGUAUGCGCUUGACACUUGAAGAGCUCAUGACAGUUUCAAUGAGAAUCACUCGUCAGUUUUGAAAUUCUACACACAAUAGCUCUGCACAACGCGAAGAAUAUGAUAUCAUAUACUGUACAUAAGCAGCUUUUCUGAGAUCUCCAGGUAAUCAAACGAGAUGAUUUCUACCAGAUUUGGGGUGUCAAAGAACUCCUCUGAAAGUGAUUGAUGAGUGCUGGGUAAUUGUCCAUUGUGAGGAGAUGUCAGAGGGAGACGACAUGUCACCUCGCAGUGAGAGUAAAAGAGCCGGCAAAUGGAAGUGAUUACCUCUAAUAUUCUCCAUCUGGGAGCAAUUGCCUCAGAAGACGACUUUCAAAGAGAUGUACGGCGGGCAGAGAAGAAGGAGGCAACAGUAAUUUGCACAGGAUUUACAAAUCUCCUGAAUCGAAUUUGGAAAUCUUUGCGCACAUUUUGUUCUCUUCCCCCCCAAGACAGUGACUGAAGAAAUGCACACACACACACACACACACAAGCGUAAGCAAGUCCACAGAGAUAACUCCUGCUUUCUAUUGCAGGGAAUGUUCUUUAUAAAGCUAUUUUGAGAAGAGAGAGCUUUUUUCUUUUUUUGGCAAACUCUUUUCAAUCCCAGAGAAUGAAGUUGUAAUAUGCACUGCAGUUGGCUGGAUUUUGAGGCUCAGACAUCAAUACUCAAUAUAUCUCGCUGUCUGUCUGUGAGCAAUCACAAACCACCCAAGAAAUAGUUGCCAGUGUGUGUGAGAGUUGAGCCUGAGCCAGGUCAGAAGUGAUCAAAGGCUAUAGAGAAGGGGAUGGGGAUCGGGGAUGGGGGGGGGGGUUAUCUGGUCCCAAUUACAGUCAAUCAUGGGAAAUUGGCAAAGUGCAAAGCGAGAGAGAUCUUCAUGUUGAGAGCAGGGGGCCAGAUGAGCCAAGGUGGUCCUUUGACAUAUCUGACUUCAGAGGCGACAGCAAAAUGAAGAUUUGAAGAUCUUUUCUUGUUUGUAUUUAUGCGUCUUUGUUGCUGUGGGUUACAAUUACAUUCACCUCACAACUAUUCUGUUUUUAAUCUUAAUCUUUAGUUGAUAUUAGUGCUAUAACACACAAUCUUUAAAAAAAAUAAAGCCUUGCCAGUAUUAAUCGUGGCAUAAAUUACUUAAAGGACACGGAAAACUUGAACCAAAAGUCAAGUAUUGAAGAAAUAAUGGCUAAUAGAUCCUUUUAGGGCAUUUAGGUUGAGAAAGUUUGAUUUACUAUCUGGUUUCCUUGCAAAUAUAUCCACACUGUUUAACUUUUAGCAUGCAAGCUCUGGAGCAUGCAAACAA